rnacentral:rRNA from 1 species
UCAGCAGCCGCGGUAAUACGGAGGAUGCAAGCGUUAUCCGGAAUGAUUGGGCGUAAAGCGUCCGCAGGUGGCUGUGUAAGUCUGCUGUCAAAGCGUCUGGCUUAACCAGAUAAAGGCAGUGGAAACUACACGGCUAGAGUGCGUUCGGGGCAGAGGGAAUUCCUGGUGUAGCGGUGAAAUGCGUAGAGAUCAGGAAGAACACCGGUGGCGAAGGCGCUCUGCUAGGCCGCAACUGACACUGAGGGACGAAAGCUAGGGGAGCGAAUGGGAUUAGAUACCCCAGUAGUCCUAGCCGUAAACGAUGGAUACUAGGCGUUGCGAGUAUCGACCCUCGCAGUGCCGGAGCCAACGCGUUAAGUAUCCCGCCUGGGGAGUACGCACGCAAGUGUGAAACUCAAAGGAAUUGACGGGGGCCCGCACA